UGGGGAAUAUUGCACAAUGGAGGGAACUCUGAUGCAGCGACGCCGCGGGAGUGAUGAAGGAUUUCGUUUCGUAAAACUCUGUUCUAUGGGAAGAAAAGGACUGUACCAUAGGAGAAAGCUCCGGCUAAAUACGUGCCAGCAGCCGCGGUAAUACGUAUGGAGCGAGCGUUGUCCGGAAUUAUUGGGCGUAAAGGGUGCGCAGGCGGCUUUACAAGUUGGAUGUGAAAUAUUGUGGCUCAACCACAAACGUGCAUCCAAAACUGCAAAGCUUGAGUUAAGGAGAGGUAAGUGGAAUUCCUGGUGUAGCGGUGGAAUGCGUAGAUAUCAGGAGGAAUACCGGUGGCGAAGGCGACUUACUUGACUUAAACUGACGCUCAGUCACGAAAGCGUGGGGGGCAAACAGG
rnacentral:rRNA from 1 species